AAAGCGAGAAAGCGUUGCCGCAGGCAACGACCCGAAGGGCGAAGCGCGCAGCGCUGAGUAAUCCUUCCCCCGUCAUCC
rnacentral:sRNA from 1 species